UGGGGAAUAUUGCACAAUGGGCGCAAGCCUGAUGCAGCCAUGCCGCGUGUAUGAAGAAGGCCUUCGGGUUGUAAAGUACUUUCAGCGGGGAGGAAGGCGAUAAGGUUAAUAACCUUGUCGAUUGACGUUACCCGCAGAAGAAGCACCGGCUAACUCCGUGCCAGCAGCCGCGGUAAUACGGAGGGUGCAAGCGUUAAUCGGAAUUACUGGGCGUAAAGCGCACGCAGGCGGUCUGUCAAGUCGGAUGUGAAAUCCCCGGGCUUAACCUGGGAACUGCAUUCGAAACUGGCAGGCUAGAGUCUUGUAGAGGGGGGUAGAAUUCCAGGUGUAGCGGUGAAAUGCGUAGAGAUCUGGAGGAAUACCGGUGGCGAAGGCGGCCCCCUGGACAAAGACUGACGCUCAGGUGCGAAAGCGUGGGGAGCAAACA
rnacentral:rRNA from 1 species